rnacentral:misc_RNA from 1 species
GGAAGGAUCAUUAAAUAAUUUAGAUGGCCUUUGCUAGUUUUCUAGCGAAUGGUUCAUUCUUUUUUACUGUGAACUGUUUUAAUUUUUCAGCGUCUGAGGAAUGUCUUUUAGCCAUAGGGAUAGGCUACUAGAAUGUUAACCGAGCUGAAAGUCAGGCUUAGGCCUGGUAUCCUAUUAAUUAUUUACCAAAAGAAUUCAGUAUUAUAAUUGUAACAUAAGCGUAAAAAACUUAUAAAACAACUUUUAACAACGGAUCUCUUGGUUCUCGCAUCGAUGAAGAACGUAGCAAAGUGCGAUAACUAGUGUGAAUUGCAUAUUCAGUGAAUCAUCGAGUCUUUGAACGCAACUUGCGCUCAAUGGUAUUCCAUUGAGCACGCCUGUUUCAGUAUCAAAAACACCCCACAUUCAUAAUUUUGUUGUGAAUGGAAUUGAGAGUUUCGGCUUUAUUGCUGAAUUCUUUAAAAUUAUUAGGCCUGAACUAUUGUUCUUUCUGCCUGAACAUUUUUUUAAUAUAAAGGAAUGCUCUAGUAAAAAGACUAUCUCUGGGGCCUCCCAAAUAAAUCAUUCUUAAAUUUGAUCUGAAAUCAGGCGGGAUUACCCGCUGAACUUAAGCAUAUCAAUAAGCGGAGGAAAAGAAAAUAACAAUGAUUUCCCUAGUAACGGCGAGUGAAGAGGAAAGAGCUCAAAGUUGGAACCUGUUUGGCUUAGCUAAACCGGAUUGUAAACUGUAGAAGUGUUUUCCAGACACGCCUGGUAAAAAAGUCCUUUGGAACAGGGCAUCAUAGAGGGUGAGAAUCCCGUCAUUGGCCAGAGCUGUUGUCUUUUGUGAUACAUUUUCAAAGAGUCAGGUUGUUUGGGAAUGCAGCCUAAAUUGGGUGGUAAAUCUCACCUAAAGCUAAAUAUUUGCGAGAGACCGAUAGCGAACAAGUACCGUGAGGGAAAGAUGAAAAGAACUUUGAAAAGAGAGUUAAACAGUAUGUGAAAUUGUUAAAAGGGAACCGUUUGGAGCCAGACUGGCUUAACUGUAAUCAAUCUAGGCUUUGGCCUGGAUGCACUUGCGGUUUAUGCCGGCCAACGACAGUUUUGUUUGAGGGAAAAAAUUACAUUGAAUGUGGCCCUUCGGGGUGUUAUAGCUUUGUAAAAAAUACCUUGGACUGGACUGAGGAACGCAGUGAAUGCCUUUAGGCAAGAUUGCUGGGUGCUUUCGCUAAUAAAUGCUAGAAUUUCUGCUUCGGGUGGUGCUAGUGUUUAAAGGAGGAACUCGCUUAGUAUAUUUUUUAUUCGCUUAGGUUGUUGGCUUAAUGACUCUAAAUGACCCGUCUUGAAACACGGACCAAGGAGUCCACCAUAAGUGCGAGUAUUUGGGUGACAAACCCAUAUGCGCAAGGAAACUGAUUGAUACGAAGGCUUUAAGCUGGCAGUAUCACCCGGCGUUGACGUUUUAUACUGAACUGACCGAGGUAAAGCACUUAUGAUGGGACCCGAAAGAUGGUGAACUAUGCCUGAAUAGGGUGAAGCCGGAGGAAACUCCGGUGGAGGCUCGUAGCGAUUCUGACGUGCAAAUCGAUCGUCAAAUUUGGGUAUAGGGGCGAAAGACUAAUCGAACCAUCUAGUAGCUGGUUCCUGC